AGUGAGACUAGAGUCACAUCUUGACAUUCCUCAUUGUCAUGAUGUGCUAUUGUCCUCGCAGAGUAAACUUUCUCUGCAUAUUCAUUGGCUGUUGCUUUCUAUUGCUUGGCCAAUCACCAGCUCAGAAACAGAC
ensembl:snoRNA